AAUGAGGGGUAGGGGUGCCUCCAAUACCUUUUAUAAUUUUAUAAUACAGAGGUGAGAUGUAUUAGCUUUUCGCAUUGCUGUAAGUACUAGGACAACAACACGCUUGGGCAUCUUUUCAAGUAGGAUCCUGGAAACACAGGAAUAGUAGGGGGAAAGUACACAGGACUGUAGUAUCAUGGUACUCCGAAUCCUAUAUAGGAAAAUGCAGAAAGGAAGGCGACACAAGAAAGCAUAGGAAAACACAAGACACAAAAGGAAAGCAAACCAGGUUUGCUCCAAAAUUCUUCCGGAACCACAGUCCACACAAUUUUUAAAGCAAUUGUUGGACAAGACGCCUCUGAAUUAAUGGACAGCAUAGGAAUUUUCCUGCUCGCAAAAAAAAAAAAGGCAAAGGAAUGGUCUUACAGAAAUCGAAUCCUUUCAAAGAAAAGGUCGUAGGCCCAUGGGCCCUCUCCUACCAAAU
rnacentral:lncRNA from 1 species